ensembl:snRNA U1 U1 spliceosomal RNA
AUACUUACCUGGCAGGGGAGAUACUAUGGUCACAAAGGUGGUUUUCCCAGGGCAAGACUUAUCCAUUGCACUCCAAAUGUGACCUUACCUAUUGCACUCCAAAUGCUGAC